CGUCAAGAGUCUAGGCGCCGUUUCGGCGAACGAAUUUCUUUUGCCUGUUAGAAGGUGAAGAACGAUG
rfam:Rhizobium tibeticum isolate CCBAT85039 genome assembly, contig: CCBAT85039_contig70